rnacentral:rRNA from 1 species
GACGGCCUUCGGGUUGUAAACCUCUUUCAGUAGGGAAGAAGCGAAAGUGACGGUACCUGCAGAAGAAGCGCCGGCUAACUACGUGCCAGCAGCCGCGGUAAUACGUAGGGCGCAAGCGUUAUCCGGAAUUAUUGGGCGUAAAGAGCUCGUAGGCGGUUUGUCGCGUCUGCCGUGAAAGUCCGGGGCUCAACUCCGGAUCUGCGGUGGGUACGGGCAGACUAGAGUGAUGUAGGGGAGACUGGAAUUCCUGGUGUAGCGGUGAAAUGCGCAGAUAUCAGGAGGAACACCGAUGGCGAAGGCAGGUCUCUGGGCAUUAACUGACGCUGAGGAGCGAAAGCAUGGGGAGCGAACAGGAUUAGAUACCCUGGUAGUCCAUGCCGUAAACGUUGGGCACUAGGUGUGGGGGACAUUCCACGUUUUCCGCGCCGUAGCUAACGCAUUAAGUGCCCCGCCUGGGGAGUACGGCCGCAAGGCUAAAACUCAAAGGAAAUUGACGGAUCAUCUUCUG